UGGGCAGAGUGGGUGGGAACCAACCUCCCCAGGGACAGUGAGGGGCCCUUGGCCUUGUUUGGCAGCCUCUGCCUCCCGGCCAAGGUGACUCUGAGGAUGGAGAGGACUCCAGUUCAGCUCAGCCUCAGUCCCUCAGCAGACCCCCGCCUCCCCCACGCCAUGCGCCCUCCCAUGUGGCACACUGGUGAGCUGGGUGUUGGUCUUGAUGGCCGGUUCCCCACACCAGGACGCAAAUGUGGUGACAGCAGAGAUUUUGAUUCUGCAUCCUCUGCUCGGCCCCCAUCUAGCACACUGCUUGGCACGUAGUAGAUGCUCAUUAAACACGGGUUGAGUGACCACACAGACGAACUGUUUCCAGCCAUCUGGGGAACCUAGAAGCCAUGCUGGGAUUCCCUAGGACAGUGGCUCUCUCCUUUGCCUGCCCUUCAGAGCUACCCACGGCCGCCUAGGCCCCAGCCCCAGCCCCAGAAGGUCUGAGUUAAUUGCUCUGGGAUGAGGCUUUAGAAGCAUAAUUCUAAAAAGCUCUCCAGGUCAUUCCGAUGUGCAGCCAAGGUUAGGAGUUUGGGCCAGAGGAGAGGCUCCUUCCUCGUGGCCACGGGAGCCCGUGGUGCCCAGCCCACCAGUCAUCGGGAGAUAGCAGAGGGUCAACGAGCAGCUGACGGAAUAGAGGAACCGUGCACUGACUGGAGCUACUCACUGACCCUUAGGGAGCUCACGGGUUGAAUCUGUGCGCCAAACAGAUGACGGUCUCGGGCACCCUGGCCUGUCUGAGUGGGACGCAGGGUCGGGAGACGGAAGCACUCCUUGGAGAGCGUCGCUCAGCCCCAGGACACAAGAACCCCGUGUUCCUCACUGGGGACAGGCAAGGAGGACCCCCGGGGAAGCUGUCCCUAUGGUGUCCCUGCUGUGCUAAAGGUCACGCUGCCCUGCUCAGAGCCUUGUCCUGGCAUCCCCUGGAGCCACGGUCCCCAGGUCUCAAACGGAGCAGCACCUCUGAGCCCACCCAGCCAGAGCCACAGCACCACGGGAGAAGUGGGUGGCAGGUAAACCGGGCAUCUCAUGUGGGGACCACGCCCAGGCUGACCUGCCAGUCUCCAGUCGUAGUGUACUCCCGGGGUGGACCAGGGGCACUCACCACUGAGCCACGCCCCCAGCCCUCUUGAUUUAGAGACGGGGUCUCCCUCAGUGCCUCAGGGUCUCACUAAGCUGCAGAGGCUGGCUUUGAACUCACGAUCCUCCUGCCUCAGCCUCCCGAGCUGCUGGGAUGACAGGUGUGGGCCUCUGCGCCUGGCCCUGUGUCCAGUCCCGCUGGCUGCCCGCCCCGGGAGAGCCGCUUCGGCUCAAAUGCACGCGGCUUCUCUUGCCCCGCGGUCCCUCUCUCACACAGGUCAACUUCUUUGCCCAGGUGACUGGCACCCACAGGACCAGCAGCCAGAAAGACACGGCCCGGGUCCUAGCCGAGGGUCGACGGGAGACCUGGUUACAGGAAGUGACCGUGGAGGUGGACCAGUGUCUGCCCUUCCCCGGCGUGGCUGGCAGUGCUGGCCAGUCAUGCGUCUUCUCAUUGAUUUCUCCAACCCCUGGCCUGCAGGUGGAGCUAACAGAAUGUGGGCAGCAGCGGCGUCACCUCUCCACAGGGACAGGCCAUUGACAUCUCCUGUGCAUGAUCCUUCCUUCCUUCCCUCUCUGUUGGGAGCUGGCAUGAGGCCCGCCGUGCCCUGAGUGAAGGGACCCCGGAUCCCUGUAUGGCCGUGGGGAGUGGAAGCCCUGCCCCCCACCCAUGGGCUUCCCGGCUCAGCCACUGAAGUUGGGGUCCACAGGGCACUGACGCAAGACCCAGGGACCAGGGUCGAUGCCCUCUCCAGGGAGGACCCACUCAGCCAGAGCCUGGAGAGUGCUCUGUGUGAAGGUGACCCCUCGUCUCCAGGCGCCUGAUGGAAUCCUUGCUCCUGUUUUUCCCCUUAAGGCAUUAAAAAUAAAUAAACAAAUAAGCAUCCAUGUGCCCAAGAAAUAAGACAUUACUGAUGUGCCCUGCUGGGGUUUGACUCUAGAAUGUUCCCCAGAGACCCAGAUAGUGAAAGACGUGGUCCCCAGUCCCUGGGGCUGUCUGGAGGUGGCAGAACCUAGGUGAGGUAGGACCUAGUGGAAGAAGGUCCCUGGCGAAUGGCUUUAAAGGGGACAUUGGGACCCCAGUCACGUCCUCUCUCUCCUCCUCCUGCUUCCUAGAUGCCAUGAGGUAGACAGGCCUCCUCCACCAUGUCUGCCCGCCAUGAGGCACUGUGCUGCCACAGGCCCAAAGCAACAGGCCAAGGGACCAUGACCUGAAACCACUGAAACUGU